rnacentral:rRNA from 1 species
GACGAACGCUGGCGGCGUGCUUAACACAUGCAAGUCGAACGGAAAGGCCCUUCGGGGUACUCGAGUGGCGAACGGGUGAGUAACACGUGGGUGAUCUGCCCUGCACUUUGGGAUAAGCCUGGGAAACUGGGUCUAAUACCGGACAGGACCCCGGCAUUCCUGUGCUGUGGUGGAAAGCUUUUGCGGUGUGGGAUGGGCCCGCGGCCUAUCAGCUUGUUGGUGGGGUAAUGGCCUACCAAGGCGACGACGGGUAGCCGGCCUGAGAGGGUGACCGGCCACACUGGGACUGAGAGACGGCCCAGACGCCUACGGGAGGCAGCAGUGGGGAAUAUGACACAAUGGGCGCAAGCCUGAUGCAGCGACGCCGCGGUAGGGAUGACGGCCUUCGGGGUGUAAACCUCUGUCGCCAGGGACGAAGCGCAAGUGACGGUACCUGGAGAAGAAGGACCGGCCAACUACGUG